AAAGCGGGACGAAUGAUCGCUGGCGCCGUUGAACGGCGCGGGAGGAAAGUCCGAGCUCCGCAGGGCAGGGUGCUGGGUAACGCCCAGCGGGGGUGACCCCGGGAAAGUGCCACAGAAAGCAAACCGCCCCGCAUUCGGGGUAAGGGUGAAAGGGUGAGGUAAGAGCUCACCAGCUCCGGCGGCGACGCCGGGGGCUAGGUAAACCCCACCCGGAGCAAGACCAAAUAGGGGGGCGUUCGAGGGCGGCCCGCCCGAGGCCCCCGGGUAGGUUGCUCGAGGGUCCAGGUAACCGGACUCCUAGAGGAAUGAUCAUUGCCCCGCGGGCGGGCGACCGCCUCGGGGAACAGAACUCGGCUUACAGGCCCCUUUCUCA
rnacentral:RNase_P_RNA from 1 species